CUUCGAUUUUUGAGAAAGCAAUCAUGCUGGGGGUCUGACUCUCGAGAUUCGGAGAGCAGUGUCUCUUCGAUUUUUGAGGAAGUAAUCAUGUUGGGAGUCUGGUUCUCGAGAUUCGGAGGGCGGUGCCUCUUCGAUUUUGGAGCAAGCAAUCUUGUUGGGAGUGUUGUCUCGAAUGUGAGUAAAGGUUGGACAUGUUUGCUAGUCUACCUUGCCACGAAGCACAAAGGUUGACACACAGGGACUUUCCAAUUAUCCAGCAAUGGUACUGUUCCUUUACCCUCUCUUCGAUUUUGAGAAAGUAGUCAUGUUGGGAGUCUGGCUCUCGAGAUUCGGAGGACGGUGCCUCUUCGAUUUUGGAGCAAGCAAUCUUGUUGGGACUGUUUUUGCGAAUGUGAGUAAAGGUUGGGCAUGUUUGCUAGUCUACCUUGCCACGAAGCACAGAGGUUAACACACAGGGACUUUCCAAUUAUCCAACAGUGGUACUGUUCCUUUACCCUUGUGGGUAAUAAUAUGGUAGCUAGACCUUCAAAAUUUAUGUGUCUAAACUUUGUUAGUGCUGUUUCUUUGCUAUUCUUUUACCUUUCUUGGUCAGAGCGAUGUAGUGGGAGCUGCAAGCUUCACGUGCUCAACUUUGGCAUAGCACUUUGGCAAAGUGAUCUGUGGUACCCAUGAGUUAUUGUUGCGUGUGGGAAGUGGGUGAUUGAACAGUAAGAUUCAUGUGCUUUCUACUUCACCAGAAGUCUUCGACAGAAUGCCCAUAAUUUCUGCAAAGCUGAGUGUGCGUGUGACAGGUGCUGACAAGGCUAGAAAAGUAGGUGCCUCUUCGAUUUCUGAGAUCGGCCCUCGUGGUCUCUGAGCAGCCCAGCUUUUGAGAAAGCGAGCGCCUCUUCGAUUGAUUCGGAGAACGGUGCCUCACCGAUUUUUAAGAAGCAAUCAUGAUGGGGGUCUGGCUCUCGAGAUUCGGGGAGCAGUGUCUCUUCGAUUUUUGAGAAAGUAAUCAUGUUGGGAGAGUGGCUCUCGAGAUUCGGAGGGCGGUGCCUCUUCGAUUUUGGAGCAAGCAAUCUUGUUGGGAGUGUUUUCUCGAAUGUGAGUAAAGGUUGGGCAUGUUUGCUAGUCUACCUUGCCACGAAGC
rnacentral:lncRNA from 1 species